GUUACUGUAGCUUACCAUAAAGCAUGGCACUGAAGAUGCCAAGAUGUAUAUUUAACUAUUCCAGAAACA
rnacentral:tRNA from 1 species